UAGAUCCUAACUGGAAGGAAGAGGGUCAU
rnacentral:piRNA from 2 species